CAUAUCAACAGCUACCCCUUUCCUGCAUAAAACUGCCCGGCAGUCACCAGCAUUUGCAACCAGUAGAUGCCUUCCAAGAACUAGGGCAGUCAGAGCUGUUGUUCCGCAAGAACUACUAACGCUGCUUUCAUCAGCCAAGGCAAUGUCUGCCAGUAAAAAUGCCUUCUUAUGGCAAUCCACCAAUGCGUCGAGGAACACAGCAUCAAUAUCAGAUGUUUGUGGCAACUCGGCAUCUUCAAAAAACAACCUCAUAGCAUUUCUCUUGAUAUAAGCAGCAGCAUCAGGCCCACCAUG
rnacentral:misc_RNA from 1 species